rnacentral:lncRNA from 1 species
CGCCACUUUUACAACCAGUGGCCAAAAGUCAAGUUUGUAGCAUCUUUAAUUCCUACAGAUUUAUUUAUCGUUUUAACGGUUAGUGGACUCUGACCAAUCCGGGCCAGGACAAACUACUAGCAACACAACAAUCUGGGAUCUGAGAUCGGAUGACAGAGUGCUCACUACCAGAAAACCACAGUGGCACACACUUGCUGGUGGCAGAUGUCUGGCCUGCCACAUUAUGUCACGGAAGAGCAACAAGACAACCGGCGUGUCCAAUAUCCAGGUGUCCAACCUGGGCGGCACUCAGACAAUUCCAAGCCUCCUUCUACUGGACCCCUGGGCACCAUCAGUGUGCUGUGAUAAUGAUUUCAUCACCUGGCCACAGUCAUGCAGCUGCACUGUACAGAGACGCAGCUGAUUUUUUGGACAAGACGCUUGACUGC